rnacentral:lncRNA from 1 species
GGAGCCCGCAGGAGAGAACCAGGUCUCCUCAGUGUGAAAACAAGAAUUUCACAAGAACUCCUCUCGACUUCAGUAUCUCCAGGCUCUCAGACCAUAUAAGGACAUUGGAAGAAGGGAGUCUUGCUCCUUCGCCUGCUUGCCGUGUGGGACAGAGUAACUGCUAGAUCCUUGGACUUCCAUUCAUAGCUACUACUGAACCAUUGUUGGGAAUUGGACUGCAGACUGUAAGUCAUCAAUAAAUUCCUUUACUAUAUACAGACUAUCCAUAAGUUCUGUGACUCUAGAGAACCCGGACUAAUACAGAAGUUGGUACCAAUUUGUCUUAGCUUCUGCUGAAGGCUGGCAGCCACCUCGGACGUCACUCGCUUCACCUUCCGCCGGCGCCUGAGGGGUCGACAAGGUGCGUUUUCCGUAAAGGAGUCAGACUCGGGCCAAGAAUGUUGCUUACCCCUAAUGAUGGCACUGAGAGCUGGGUGCCGUUUGGCCACCGAUGUAAACAAAAGAAAUUGGGUGUGCAGCAGCUGGUGGAAACAUGAAGAGACCCACAGCCAAGCAUUAGAUGGAGCUCAGGAUGUCCUGUGAAAGAGUUGGUGGAAAGACUGAGGAGCCUGGAGGGAAUAGGAACUGUACAGGAAGAUAAACAGACUCAACUAACCUGGAUCCUUGGACACGACCAGAGUCUGAACCACCAACCAAAGAGCAUACGAGGGCUGGAACUAAGCGCCCCACCACGAACAUAUGUAGCUUGAUCUUCAUUCGAGUCCCCUAACAACUGGAGCAGAGGCUUAUGCUCUGUUGCCUGCCUGGGAAUCCUGCUCCCUGACUGGGCUGUGUUGUCUAGCCUCAGUGGGAGAGGAUGUACCUAGUUCUGCAGUGUCUUAAGGUGCCAGGGUAGGUUAGUUCCCCGGGAGGGACCUUCCCCUUCUCAGAGGCGAAGGAGAGUGGGGAUUGGGGUAGGGGCCUUGUGAGGGGAAACUGGGAAAGUAGGGCUGUGAUCUGGAUGUAAAGUGAAGAAAGAAAGAAGGAAAGAAAGAAAGAAAGAAAGAAAGAAAGGAAGGAAGGAAGGAAGGAAGGACGUUUUUAAAUAAAAUAUUAAAAUUAUAAGACUUGGAUGUGUAUAACCAUAUAGAAACUGUAGAAUCUUCAUAAUUUUUCUGGACACUUAAAAUUAUCUCAAAACUAAAAGUUUUUUUUUAAAUGCAUAUGAAUUUUGGCUCAGAAACUCUUCUAAGACUUAUUCUAAGGAAAAGUUGAAAUAGACUUUUUAAAACCAUUAAGGGCUGUAGAGAUGGCUCAGCGGUUAGGUUCACAGUCCAAUGCCUCCCAAACCAUCAACGAGUGUUGUGAAGAACACAAAAUUGAGUGAAACAGAAGUCAUGCAACCCUAGAAUCCCACCCUGACACUGACCUGGAAGUCUGCAGGGCAAACUGUCUUCCCCCUGCCUAAGUGCUUGGCUGACCGCAUGUGUUUUGUUUUGUUUUGUUUUGCUUUGUUUUUCUUUAAUGAUGUGAUUGUCUUUUGCCACGAUUUGACAGCUCCCACCAGUCCCUGCUUCCAUCCUGCCUCGAGUGUUCAUGGCCUCUCCUGACCUGAGGACUGGCCUGGAGCUGCAAAGCUUAGACUUGCCAGAGGCAGUGAGUGCUAGAAACUGGGGAGAGACCUCAGAGAGAUGAUGGGUGGAAGGGUGUGCUGCAAGGAUGAAUGUUCCCUUCUGACCACCUCUUGAUUUCACCCUU